rnacentral:rRNA from 1 species
UCCCAGACUCCUACGGGAGGCAGCAGUGGGGGAUAUUGCACAAUGGGGGAAACCCUGAUGCAGCAACGCCGCGUGAGUGAGGAAGUAUUUCGGUAUGUAAAGCUCUAUCAGCAGGGAAUAGAAAAGAAGGUACCUGAAAAAGAAGCCCCGGCUAACUACGUGCCAGCAGCCGCGGUAAUACGUAGGUGGCAAGCGUUGUCCGGAUUUACUGGGUGUAAAGGGCGUGCAGCCGGGCUGACAAGUCAGAUGUGAAAUCCCGCGGCUCAACCGCGGAACUGCAUUUGAAACUGUCAGUCUUGAGUACCGGAGAGGUCAUCGGAAUUCCUUGUGUAGCGGUGAAAUGCGUAGAUAUAAGGAAGAACACCAGUGGCGAAGGCGGAUGACUGGACGGCAACUGACGGUGAGGCGCGAAAGCGUGGGGAGCAAACAGGAUUAGAUACCCCCGUAGC